rnacentral:rRNA from 1 species
UACGGAGGAUGCGAGCGUUAUCCGGAUUUAUUGGGUUUAAAGGGUGCGUAGGCGGUCCGUUAAGUCAGCGGUAAAAUUGCGGGGCUCAACCCCGUCGUGCCGUUGAAACUGACACCCUUGAGUGAGUGAGAAGUAAGCGGAAUGCGUGGUGUAGCGGUGAAAUGCAUAGAUAUCACGCAGAACGCCGAUUGCGAAGGCAUCUGACGAAUCGGAGAUUGACGCUGAUGCACGAAAGCGUGGGUAUCGAACAGG